rnacentral:rRNA from 1 species
GCACGGGUGCGUAACGCGUGGGAAUCUGCCCUUGGGUUCGGAAUAACUUCGGGAAACUGAAGCUAAUACCGGAUGAUGACGUAAGUCCAAAGAUUUAUCGCCCAAGGAUGAGCCCGCGUAGGAUUAGNNNNUUGGUGAGGUAAAGGCUCACCAAGGCGACGAUCCUUAGCUGGUCUGAGAGGAUGAUCAGCCACACUGGGACUGAGACACGGCCCAGACUCCUACGGGAGGCAGCAGUGGGGAAUAUUGGACAAUGGGCGAAAGCCUGAUCCAGCAAUGCCGCGUGAGUGAUGAAGGCCUUAGGGUUGUAAAGCUCUUUUGCCCGGGAUGAUAAUGACAGUACCGGGAGAAUAAGCUCCGGCUAACUCCGUGCCAGCAGCCGCGGUAAUACGGAGGGAGCUAGCGUUGUUCGGAAUUACUGGGCGUAAAGCGCACGUAGGCGGCUUUGUAAGUUAGAGGUGAAAGCCUGGAGCUCAACUCCAGAAUUGCCUUUAAGACUGCAUCGCUUGAAUCCAGGAGAGGUGAGUGGAAUUCCGAGUGUAGAGGUGAAAUUCGUAGAUAUUCGGAAGAACACCAGUGGCGAAGGCGGCUCACUGGACUGGUAUUGACGCUGAGGUGCGAAAGCGUGGGG